rnacentral:lncRNA from 1 species
UACCGACUGAUUUAUGACUAAAAAUACCGACUGACUUACGACUGUACAUAACUGACUGAUUAACGACUACAAGAACCCGAUUGAUUAACGACUUCGAAUAUCCGACUGAUUAACUACUGCAUUUAAACGAAAUACUUGCCAAGAAAGUAGUUGUAGAUUAGACGUUAAAUAGUCGGACUGUAGUCGUAAUAUAGUAUGACUGUUGCCCGACUAGUUGCCGACUGAUUUAAUUAGUUGUAAUUUAGUCGUAAGGUAGUCGUAAUUUAGCGACCGAUUCCCGACCGCUCUAAUUACCGACACGAUGAUUGACGACCAUAACGUUUAGUCGCUAUUCAGUCGUAAUACGUAAUUUGCGACUGUUUCCCUACCGAUUCUUCAGUCGGUAUCUACUUGUUUUCUUGUAGUGUUUCGCUCCAUUGACUGCUCUGCUCGAGAAGGGUUAGUCGCCGGUGGUUGUUCUGCUAUCUCUGGAGAUGCGGCGAGGUCGUGGUAGUUGUGGUUGAAUAUUUUUGGCUUUGGAGCAGAUAUAUUUUCUUUUUCGAUCUCCCUCAGAUCUCUUCGAACGUGAGGACAAGUGAUGGUUGAAUCUCAGUUCGGUUUUGCGGCUCUCCUUCUGUUUGUCUGACGGUUUCUCCGGCUACGGCUUGUGCUGUUUCUGGUUUUCUCCGAGUCGACGAGAACAAGACCCUCUAUUAUGUAUUCCAGUGUCCUCCAGAGGGUUUUGCUAACUCGGUGACGAGUCGUGAGUAGUAACACGCAGGAAACAAUGGUGUUCCACUCAACUCCGGCUCGUGUAAGCGUCCAAGAUGUUUUGACAGGGGUUGUCUAUGGCCCCUCGGUGGCUUCUUACGCCAUUUCUUCACCACGGAUCUUCUUUUCACAGCUCGAGUUCCUGUUUACGCAAGUGAAGGUGUCGGUUUCUCUUCGAUCUGGUCUCGGCUAUUAUUGGCCUGUCUCCGUUGACACCGGUGUUGGGUUCUCUCAGUCUGGUAAAUCAGAUUUCGGUUCUUAAAGGCGUCAAAUGGGGAUACGGUUCUCCAGGUUUCAUUGACCGUCUAGGUGUCUAUUUUGGUCCAGCUCACAUACCGGCUCCACGAAUUUUCACUUGAUUUAUGUGGUGGUUUGUUGGACUUUACCUUGCAGGUUUUUAGAGACCGGAGGUUUUGCAGCAUCGGUAAUAUCGAUCCGUUUUUUACUUGGGUCAGCAAAGUCUUGUAUUUUGCUUGGCUCGUUAUUGUGUGUGUUUGUUGCAGUGGGGUCAUCUCUGUCUCUUAGCAGUGGGGGUUGGGGUCCUGUUACUGGCUUGUUAUUUUUCGGAUGUCGUGCCUAGAAUCUGGUCACAGAAGCUCUAAGGUAUGUUUAUCUCUCUAUUACUCUAUCUUCAUCGACUACAAAGACUUCGGGAAGGAGGAGAGUUGAAUGUUUCUAGGUCAUAACCGGAUUAACUUGGGAGAUGUGAUGAUGACGAAAGGAUUCAAAGUUGCGCCCACAACUUGAUUGUGUAGUCCGAAUUAUUGGAACUGCUAAUUUCAGUAUUGUACCAAACUUUUACUUGAAUCUGAAUUGUGAUUUUUUUGUAGUGAUA